rnacentral:misc_RNA from 1 species
CUGCCCCUCAAGCACGGCUUGUGUGUUGGGCCGCCGUCCCUUCCCGCGGGGAGGGACGGGCCCGAAAGGCAGCGGCGGUGCCGCGUUUCCGGUCCCUGAGCGUAUGGGGCUCUGUCACCCGCUCUGGAGGUGCCGGCCGGUGCCCGCCUACCCGUCAGACAUCUUCCAA